rnacentral:tRNA from 1 species
UGGGGUGUGGCUCAGUGGCACAGUGUCUGCCCAGCAGGCACAAGGCCUGGGCUCCAUCCCUAGCACAGCAA